rnacentral:lncRNA from 1 species
AUUUCCUCCCGUGUCUCUGUGUGGCUUUGUCUCUAGGUACAUUAUGACUUAGCCAUCAACGUGGCUCUUUGGUGGCUGAAUAAGUACAAGGGGAAAGAUCUCACUGAGAGUGACAUCACAAUACAAUUGUUCACCCCUUCUCACUGUCCUACCACCCAUUUGCUAUGCUGACUGCUUACAAGACUGUACAUCACUCCUGGAUGCACAGCCAGAAACGGAGGCUGUGCAGGUCUUCCCACUGCAGUGUGCGCUCUCCCACAGAGCAAGAUACAUUGGCCGACACUGUAGCCCCAGCUCUUCAAAGCCCAGAGUGAGUAAAUCUUUCCCUAUACUUCACCACAACUCUCCGUUGGUAUAAGCAAAUAUGUCCUCUUACUCCACAACCCUGUUAUAGUGUGAAUUUUUUCCUUUACCUCUCUUUCAAUGCUUUUCAAUGUGUCCUCUUUACCUGUCCACAGCACCAACCGGAGACACAAAUGACAGGUUUAUGUCCAAUAAAAC